UUUUACUUAGGGUUGCGCAUGCACGUGUGUUUGUGUGUUUGUACAUGUAUUCAUACUGUGAAGAUGCCGUUUGCUUUUUCUCUUCCUUUCCGAUUUCAAAGAUGAUCAUUACAUCUUCAGAAGUUCAUCUCAUUUCGGCACUUAGGGUUUAUUCGUUUUCAUGUCAUGUAUUUCUACCCUCUUAUUUGCCUUUCCAUCAACUAUGGCAUCAUGCAAUUUUUAAUUUCUUAGCAUUUAAAUGCAUAAAAGUUAUCUGUGCCUCUGUGAUAUAACCUUUUCUAUUUUCAACCAUCAUGACGAUUUUCUGCACCCAUUUAAUGUCUGUCCCAACUUCCAUUAGGAGUAGAAUGAAUUUCAUUUCAUAAUUUUCUAAAGUUUUUGGGAUUUUUCAUCCACUCAAAUACUCAAUUUCAUCAGAGUAAAGUUGAGUGGUGAAAUUAAACCAAACCACUUAUUGCCAGUUUGGCCAAGUUGAUUAGAAGAAAAAUGGUUUAUUUUUGAAAUAGUUUAUAUAAAGAUCUUUUCAGAAUAUAUUCUAUUGUGAUUAUUUAGAAUAAAAACAGAGCUUUCAAAAAAAGCCUUAAAUUAGUGCUUGUUAAGUAAAGGCAAAUUGUCUCUUAUCUACUCCAAAAGCCACUUUUUAAAAAUCAUUAUUGACGUAACAUAUGGCUUCUUCUUGGAGUAGAUAAGAUGCAAUAAAUUGCAGGCAAACAAGCACUUUCAAUGAUCAUGAGAAGCUUGUUCUAAUUUAGUCGUUUACCCUUUUUUCCAUGAAUUGGAUCCUCAGGGAAUAAUUUGAAUAUGGUGGUGGCUAUAAAGGCUUCAUGAAUAAUCACCCUUUGCUGUCAGCCUGUCAUUUAAGGAAUUUCAUGAUGCUCGGGUCCAAUCUGGAUGUACUUAUGUUCUUGAAUUCUUAUCUAAGCCAAGUGAAGUUAUUGAACAUAUUAAACUUCUGUGGUUGAAUAAAAUAAAAAAUUGUUACUUUUUAUGCACCGUAGUUGUAAACUGAAAUACCCUACUUAGUACUUACUGUUUAGUUUCUAUUUUUGAUGAAAUUCUGUCUCUAUUUCAUUUAAAGAGUCAUGAUAGAGGCCAAGAAAGAGAUGGUGACUUAUGAACAGAGCAAAGCUUGGUUAAUAUUCCAUUAAUGUUUGAAUGGAGAAAAUGGUUGCCACUUGCCACAUCCAUCAUGGCUACUCUGCCCUACAAAUCAAUCAGGAUUGCAUGCAGGCCAUGGAAAAGGAAUCCAUGAUAUAUGCAGGAUUGCACCCCAACCCCACUCAUAUCAUUGACAGUGUGGAGGCUCAAAUCCUACUGGGAAUCUGGAGGUUGUUAAGAGGUCUUGAUCGAUUAGAGUCUAUGAAGAGCCUUUAUGUGUAGAGUAUAAAAGCAAGAUGUGGGAACUUGAGAAUUGAGAGAGCCACUUGUGAUUUAUCUCCUCUAGCGGCUCUUGGGUAGGGUUUUGGGAGCUUAGGAUUAGUCUGACAUGAUGACUGAUAUUAAUGUUUUUUGCACCGAAUAUAAUUGUGCGUGCUUUUUGUAUUGUAUUGUAUAUUAUUGACGAUGAUUUCAAUUUUUACCUUAUACAAAUAUGAUAAGCAUUGGUGUCAUUUGUACCAAA